UACGGAGGGAGCUAGCGUUGUUCGGAAUUACUGGGCGUAAAGCGCACGUAGGCGGCUUUGUAAGUUAGAGGUGAAAGCCUGGAGCUCAACUCCAGAAUUGCCUUUAAGACUGCACCGCUUGAAUCAUGGAGAGGCGGGUGGAAUUCCGAGUGUAGAGGUGAAAUUCGUAGAUAUUCGGAAGAACACCAGUGGCGAAGGCGGCCCGCUGGACAUGUAUUGACGCUGAGGUGCGAAAGCGUGGGGAGCAAACAGG
rnacentral:rRNA from 1 species